CCCACCCACCUCUCGGCGGCCGACCUGGCUGAGUCUCUACCCCUCUCCGCCCUCCCCUCCUCUCCGCUUCUUCUGGCUGGCUCUAUUCGCUGUUGCUACCUCUCCUCGCAGAUGCAACGAGAAAAGAGGAGAAAGGGAAACACAUUUGGGGGGAAGGGGCAAAGAGACGACCAUAAGCAUCUUUUAACCUAUUCGACUUCCUUGAGGAAGCAUUUGUUCUUUCUGCUUAGUCUGACCUGGGCCAACUCUUCCACCUCUGCAUUUCUUCCUCUGGAUCCCUUUGGCUUUCACUUUACUAAGCUUACUGAGUAUAUCCUUAGGUGAAAAAUGGUGGCUUCAGAGAAAGACUCAAAGCCUAACAUAAUCUUGAGUGCAGGGCUUCUUAAAUUGUUUCCACUCACGACCCCUUUUCACCUAAGAAAUUUUUAUACAAC